AUUGAACGCUGGCGGCAUGCCUUACACAUGCAAGUCGAACGGUAACAGGACUUCGGACGCUGACGAGUGGCGAACGGGUGAGUAAUACAUCGGAACGUGCCCAGUCGUGGGGGAUAACUACUCGAAAGAGUAGCUAAUACCGCAUACGAUCUGAGGAUGAAAGCGGGGGACCUUCGGGCCUCGCGCGAUUGGAGCGGCCGAUGGCAGAUUAGGUAGUUGGUGGGAUAAAAGCUUACCAAGCCGACGAUCUGUAGCUGGUCUGACAGGACGACCAGCCACACUGGGGCUGAGACACGGCCCAGACUCCUACGGGAGGCAGCAGUGGGGAAUUUUGGACAAUGGGCGAAAGCCUGUUCCAGCAAUGCCGCGUGCAGGAUGAAGGCCUUCGGGUUGUAAACUGCUUUUGUACGGAACGAAAAAGUCUCCUCUAAUACAGGAGGCCCAUGACGGUACCGUAAGAAUAAGCACCGGCUAACUACGUGCCAGCCGCCGCCGUAA
rnacentral:rRNA from 1 species